rnacentral:rRNA from 2 species
CCAGUGGCGAAGGCGGCUGUGUGGUCUGUAACUGACGCUGAGGCUCGAAAGUAUGGGUAGCUAACAGGAUUAGAUACCCUGGUAGUCCAUACCGUAAGAGAUGAAUGGUAAGUGUUGGAGGGUUUCCGCCCUUCAGUGCUGCAGCUAUCGCAGUAAGCAUUCCACCUGGGGAGUACGGCCGCAAGGCUGAAACUCAAAGGAAUUGACGGGGGACCGCACAAGCGGUGGAGCAUGUGGUUUAAUUCGAAGCUACGCGAAGAACCUUGCCAGGUCUUGACAUACUAUGCAAAUCUAAGAGAUUAGACGUUCCCUUCGGGGACAUGGAUACAGGUGGUGCAUGGUUGUCGUCAGCUCGUGUCGUGAGAUGUUGGGUUAAGUCCCGCAACGAGCGCAACCCUUAUUAUCAGUUGCCAGCAUUAAGUUGGGCACUCUGGUGAGACUGCCGGUGUCACACCGGAGGAAGGUGGGGAUGACGUCAAAUCAUCAUGCCCCUUAUGACCUGGGCUACACCCGUGCUACAAUGGAUGGUACAUCGAGUUGCGAACUCGCGAGAGUAAGCUAAUCUCUUAAAGCCAUUCUCAGUUCGGAUUGUAGGCCGCAACUCGCCUACAUGAAGUCGGAAUCGCUAGUAAUCGCGGAUCAGCAUGCCGCGGUGAAUACGUUCCCGG